rnacentral:misc_RNA from 1 species
GAUGAAGAACGUAGCGAAAUGCGAUAAGUAAUGCGAAUUGCAGAAUCCGUGAGUCAUCGAAUCUUUGAACGCACAUUGCGCCCUUUGGUAUUCCGAAGGGCAUGCCUGUUCGAGCGUCAUUAUCACCCCUCAAGCCCCGGCUUGGUGUUGGGCUCUCGGUGGUCGUCUCCGACCACCCGUCUCAAAGAUAGUGACGGCGUUCCAGAGGGAACCGGUACGAGGAGCUUUCACGAGCAUGUACGCGGGACGACUCUGCGGGCGACGGUCUUAUUUACUUUAUAUACAAGUGUUGACCUCGGAUCAGGUAGGAAUACCCGCUGAACUUAAGCAUAUCAAUAAGCGGAGGA